AAUAUUACAAAUCAUUUUUUUCUUGCUUGUAAAUAGUGUAUUCUACAGUAUAUAUUGUUAUUCUGCACAGAACUUGACUUACAUGUAUUUUUGGUAUUUAUUUUCACAUGCUCUGCAC